rnacentral:rRNA from 1 species
CUACUUACAUCAUUGAAACAGAUGAUGCANGAUCGACUAUGUCGAAUAAAAUUCUAGGUAGAAUUAUGAUAAUGACAUUGUCUGCCUAUGUGUCUUGACCAAAUUACGUGCCAGCAGUCGCGGUAAUACGUAGAAGACUAGUGUUAUUCAUGUUUAAUCGGUUUAAAGGGUACCUAGACGGUAGAUCAAGCUUUUACAUAUAAAUUAUGUUAAUUAAAGGACUAAUUUGCUAGAGUUACUUACGAGGGGGUAUUAAAGUACUGCUGGUGUAGAGAUGAAAUUCUGUCAUACCUCUUUUCGAAAGAAAAAUCAUGGCACAGGUAUAGGCGAAGGCAUCCCCUUAUGUGAUAACUGACGUUGAGGGACGAAGGCUUUGUGUAACAAACAGGAUUAGAUACCCUAGUAGUUGAAGCAGAAAAUGAUGAAUGUCAUAGAUUAGAUAUAUAAGUUUAUUCUAUAAAUGAAAGUGUAAGCAUUCCACCUCAGGAGUAAUUUGGCAACAUUGGAAUUGAAAUCAUUAGACCGUUUCUGAAACCAGUAGUGAAGUAUGUUGUUUAAUUUGAUGAUCCGCAAAAAACCUUACCACAAUUUGAAUAUUUAUAUUUUUUUUUUAUUGGUUUCUUCUUAAUUUUCUUCUAAAAACAUAUUCAACAUGUAAAAAGAAGAAAGUUAAUAAAGAGGCAAUAAUAUAUAUUUACAAGCGUUGCACGGNUGUCUUCAGUUAAUGUCGGGAGAC